UGGGGAAUAUUGCACAAUGGAGGGAACUCUGAUGCAGCGACGCCGCGUGAACGAAGAAGGCUUUCGUGUCGUAAAGUUCUUUUAUAUGGGAAGAUAAUGACGGUACCAUAAGAAAAAGCCCCGGCUAACUACGUGCCAGCAGCCGCGGUAAUACGUAGGGGGCUAGCGUUGUCCGGAAUCACUGGGCGUAAAGGGUUCGCAGGCGGAGAUGCAAGUCAGGUGUAAAAGGCAGUAGCUUAACUACUGUAAGCAUUUGAAACUGCAUAUCUUGAGAAGAGUAGAGGUAAGUGGAAUUGUUAAUGUAGCGGUGAAAUGCGUAGAUAUUAAAAAGAAUACCGGUGGCGAAAGCGGCUUACUGGGCUCAUUCUGACGCUGAGGAACGAAAGCGUGGGUAGCAAACAGG
rnacentral:rRNA from 1 species